GGCGGAACCUGGGCUGAGAAUAAUUUCAUCCUUAAAGGCACAGUGCUGGCUUCAUCCAGGUCAAGUCGCACAGUUUUGAUCUGCGAAGAGGGCUCCAUCUCAGUCAUAUUCAUUUCAUUCUUCUUGUUAACUGCUCAAGGCCUUUGAUUCAAAAAGACUCUACUGAUGGAGAGAAGUUUCCGUCGCCGUGGGUACGCGACACAGACCGGGGAGUGACCAACAUACCCUCAUGAGUCGGGUGCCUGUAAAUAUUGCCCCAUCCUGGACUGUUGCAUUUGUUAUCCUUGGUGCCUGGCACUUUUUGUUUUUAGCGUGUGGGUUCCUAGUCUUCCCCAAACCACUCAUCCGCUAGUUGCCAUAUGCCAGACUGACAUCUUCUCUUUUGCUCUCCCAACCAUUCACUCUUCCCUCACAUUAGUUUGUUUCACCGGGUCAUUAAAGAGCUUCUUUCAGCUCA